rnacentral:misc_RNA from 1 species
ACCCCAAGUAAUCCUCAUAACCUAUCAAAAAGAGCAAAAGGAAGUCAUUUGGUAAUUGUUUAGUUAAGCAUUAAAUUGAAUGACUAGGUGCAUAAAAUGUUUAUUGAAGCUAAAUUGGGAGAAUGAACGCAGAGCUCGCUAUAUAAGCAUUCUAAAAUUUUUAAUGCAGCCAAGUGACAGACUAUUUGCUAAUUUUGUUAUGAAUAAAAUCAAACUCAAAGAUGUUUCUUCUUUUCUUUCUUUCCAUUAACUGAACCUAACAAACCCAAUCCACAAGUACAAUAUGUAUUAAUAACUUCAAAUUCUGGGUUUCAUGAUAAUCAAUGCCAUAACAUACCAGUCGAUGAUUUGUGGCUAAUUCCCAAAAAUUUUUUGGCAAUAAAACUGUAACCAAACCCGCUAGGGUCUUAUUCCAGAAAGUUCAACGUAAUUUCGCUUGCCUAAUUUGCAAGACUGCAUGUCAUUAAGCUAAUUGAGCAUUACUUGCAUCCCAUCAACCAAAGUAAAUAGAAUACACACACACACAAAAACAGAUACACAUAAAGGGUGAAAAGCAAAAUACCUGCAUCAAAGAUGAGUCCUGGAUCCAGAGCAGCCCUUGGAUCAACAUGACCACUCCCAUAAUCAAAAGGGGUAGCUGCA